CCCUUAGAUGUCCGGGGCUGCACGCGCGCUACACUGGUGCGUUCAGCGAGUUUAGCACCUUAACAGAUAUGUUUGGGUAAUCUUCUGAAAACGCACCGUGAUGGGGAUCGAUUAUUGUAAUUAUUAAUCGUCAACGAGGAAUUCCUAGUAAGUGUGAAUCAUCAGUUCGCGCUGAUUACGUCCCUGCCCUUUGUACACACCGCCCGUCGCUGCUACCGAUUGAGUGGUCCGGUGAAUUAUUCGGACCGGUGGACUGUGGGGAAACCCGCGGCCUGCUGGGAAGUCUUGUGAACCUUAUCACUUAGAGGAAGCAGAAGUCGUAACA
rnacentral:rRNA from 1 species